GAUGGGUGGAGUGUGGGUACCAGAGACCAAGGACUCCGAGCGCAUGGCGGCAAGCCUCUCUACUUCCUCCGCUAUAAGGGGAAGAGAAAUAAAAAAACAAAACAGAUUUAGUUUAGAAUGGUUUCUUGACAGCGAUCCUUUCACUGAGACCAUUUCUGAGCAGCUUCAGUGAACAGUAGAUGGAUCAGCUGAAGGUCCAGAUGUAUCUCUCAGAUCCUGUGCCAGCUGGACACAACCUGUCCUGCAGUCCUGACCUCUGAGCCACUGAAAAAGCUUCGGCCCAAAGAACACAACAAAGGAUAUCCUGAAGCGUUAAGCAGCUGAAACCCUACUUCAAGCAAGAAUAGGAACAUUUUGCUUUCUAAACAUCAGCGGUCUCCUCGGUUCUUUCAUGCUUACAGAGCUUUUGUUUCAUUUUGUUUUAAAGAAGAAGGAAUGCAGCACAGAGAUAAACAUACCCCAAAGUUUUUUUUUUACCAUAUUGCUGGUAUUAAUUUCACAUUGAUUUAAUAUUUUUCAGGACUCUAAAAUUUCAAAAUAUAAUAGAGCAAAAACACAGUAUUUUUGCACUCCUAACUUUAAAAAAAAAAGGUACAACCUAACUAAAAAAAACAUAAAUUAAAUGAUGUUUCUAUAACACUUUCUACAAGAUGUAUAAAUUGUUAAGUUGCUGUUUUUUUUCCUCAAGGCAUAGUUUUGUGACUCUGUUUAUUUCAUAUUUUGGAUUCUGGUUCAAACUGGUUUCCAUGGCUGCUUUGCAGAUUUUAGGCUAAACAAUCUUACAACUUCCGACUGAGCAGCCUGUCACUACAAAUCUGCUGUUCCCAUUCUCUGCGUAUCUCUCCGUCUCUUCCCAUCUGUCAUUCUCUCACUGCAUUAUUAUCUGCCUCGCUCACUCAUAGUAAGACGGCACCACAUUUCCUUGACACAAUCUAAAGAUAAGAUGGUAAAAGUGCAGCGCUUUGCCUUUUGCACAUUUUUUUUUAAAUUUGCCAUGGGGAAAAUGUGAAGGAUUUUAUGCAACCGAAUCUCAACUCUUUUAUGAAGUUCCUGGCUCCACCUUCAGAAUUAAGCCUUAUCUUUUUUUUUCUCGCAGGCAACAGAGUAAUGUGACAUGAUUAUGUAAAAAUCAACAGACUGCAACACGUGUGAAACAAUGUUAAUUUAUUUAAAACACGAGCACUUGUUAUUUUGUUUGUUUUUGUAAUAAUUGUGCAGAUCCGCACACAUACUAACCGUCUCAGCCACUUAAGCCGACAGAAGUGUUCAUAGAAGUGGUCACUAAGUGUCAGGGAUUGUGAUAACAUGCCUGUAACUACACUCUAGUAAACUGAAAAUAAAAAGCUGCUCACUUCUCAUUUCUGUCAUAUUUCACCCCAUGAGUCCCUUCUUGUCUUGUUUAUCAUGCAAUGUCUCCAUAAGCUUUCUUUAUUGUUAAUUAAACUGAUAAGUUCUGAAUGAAAGGUGCUGCCAGGAUAUGGUACAUGUGGUAGGUGAAGUUAAAUAUAAUUUACUCACUUGCAUAAACUUAACAAAAGCAGCUUGGUAAUUGCUUAAAUAUGAGUAUUACUCACAGUAAAAAGACUUUAGAAAAGUACAUGCAGGUGUUACAUUCUGCACUGUGUUGACACUGCGAUCUG